UACAGAGGGUGCGAGCGUUAAUCGGAAUUACUGGGCGUAAAGCGCGCGUAGGCGGUUUUGUAAGUCGGGUGUGAAAUCCCCAGGCUCAACCUGGGAACUGCAUUCGAGACUGCAUAGCUAGAGUAUGGGAGAGGGAAGUGGAAUUUCAGGUGUAGCGGUGAAAUGCGUAGAUAUCGAGAGGAACACCUGCGGCGAAGGCGGGUUGCUGGGCUGACACUGACGCUGAAGCGCGAAAGCUAGGGGAGCGAACGGG
rnacentral:rRNA from 1 species